rnacentral:lncRNA from 1 species
CUCCAAAUUGCCCGCUAGGAGACAGUGUUGCUCCUAUUGAGAAAGACUCCUCUAGAACAGGGGUCAGAGUAGUACUUACGGAUUUUCAGGCCAAAAGCUGUCUGACAAAACUAUUCAACCCUGCCAGGUGCCCUACGGCAGCUACAGACAGUGCAUAAAAGCACAGGCAUGGCUGUGUUCCAAUAAAGCUUUGUUGACAAUAGCAGGUGCCUCGCUGGAUUUGGCCCACAGAACGCAGUUUACUGACCCUUGGUCUGGGGCAGCCCCUUCAGUUUACAGGGUGGGCCUACGGCGGACAUUCAGCACCCGGGCCAGAGGACAGAGCCUGAUGGGGCCAGGCCCUCCAGUCUCAGCACCAGGGACCCCUGGACCUCUGGGAUCUGCUUGCUCCUGGGCCUGGAUGUGAGACCAGUGCCUCCCAGACCUGCGGUUCGGGGCCAGUUUUGUUUCUUUUUUUCAGUUCAUCAUGGGCUGAUAGUUCUGUAAAAUACAGUAAAUAUGGAAGUGGGGAAAUGGAGACGAAGAGACAUGUAACAAACAUUAUUAGAUUCAACGG